GAUGAAGGCCGGCAUGAAGCUAAAUUAGAUUAAUUGGUCUCUCUCGCCAUGAUCAAGGUCAGUCUACCUGUUCCUGCAGCACGAUUCAUUAUUGGUCUAGUUCUUGGUUUAUGCUGUGUAGCUUUCCAUGCUAAGGGUCAUCAACACUGUCAGCCUUCAUCUUGCGGCGACAUCGGUAAUAUAAGUUACCCUUUCCGACUCAUCGGUGAUCCACAGAAGUGCGGUGACUUCAGGUAUAACCUGUCUUGCGAGAACAAUCUCACUGUUGUACACUUGCAUUCUGUAAGAUACUAUGUCCUUGCCAUCAAUUAUAAAAACUGCACGAUCCGAGUUGUGGAUGCCAAUUUUCAAAAGGAUAACUGCUCUUCACUCCCUCCUUAUUCCUUGACUAGAUACAACUUCAGUAGUGAUGAGGAUCCGUAUCGCAUGUAUCAACUUUAUCGGACAGGUACAAUUGUUUGGAGUAGUCAUCGGUUACUGUCAAAGCCUAUAAUUCUCAUGACCUGUAAAUUUCGGCCGGGGAAUUCAUCCCUCUUUGUUGAUGCUGCUCCUUGCAUCAACGCAACGAGUGGACAUUCCUUUGUUAACACUGACAGCUUAAAUGCAUCGGAUUUGUUAGAUUCAUGCCAGACGGAGCUGAUGGUUUUGACAUCAUGGAAUGGAACAAAAGUUGUGAACAGGUCCUACAUAGACAUCCACAACAAGCUGCUCUAUGGUUUUGAACUUUCAUGGUUGCACAAUUACGGGCGACCAGGUGAAGAUUGCUACAUCGACACUGAUACCAACAAAGUUAAUUGUAUUAUGACAAAAGUUGUACUCGGAGUUCCCUGUGUGAUUGUGUUUUUGAUCUUCAAGUUGAAAAGACGCCACUCUUAUCAAUGUAUGGCCUUAUUGAAGAUUUCUUGCAAAGUCACAAUAACCUCAUGCCAAUAAGGUACUCCUACUACAAUAUCAAGAAAAUGGCCAAAGGAUUUAAGGACAAAUUAGGGGAAGGAGGUUAUGGCUGUGUGUAUAAAGGAAAGCUCCGGAGCGGACGCCUUGUUGCUGUUAAGAUGUUGGGAAAGUCCAAAGCUAAUGGACAAGAUUUUAUAAAUGAAGUUGCCACAAUUGGAAGAAUUCAUCAUGUAAAUGUGGUGCAACUAAUUGGCUAUUGUGCUGAGGGAUCAAAGCGUGCUCUUGUAUACGAGUACAUGGCAAACCGGUCUCUUGAUAAGCACAUUUUUUCUAAGGAAGGAUCCAUUUCCUUAAGCUGCAAGGAAACAUUUGAAAUUUCACUAGGAGUGGCUCGUGGUAUUGGUUAUCUGCAUCAAGGAUGUGACAUGAAGAUAUUGCAUUUUGAUAUCAAGCCACACAACAUUCUUCUAGAUGAGAAUUUUGUUCCAAAGGUUUCAGACUUCGGUCUGGCUAGAUUAUGCCCAUUAGAUGACAGCAGUUUAAUUUUGACUGCAGCUAGAGGAACCAUUGGAUACAUAGCUCCGGAAUUGUUUUACAAGAAUAUUGGUGGUGUGUCAAACAAAGCUGACAUGUAUAGUUUCGGAAUGUUGCUGAUGGAAAUAGCAGGGAAAAGAAAGAACUUGAAUGCAGUUGCAGCCCAUUCUAGCCAAAUUUACUUUCCUUCAUGGGUUUAUGACCAGUUCAGUGAAGGAAAGGAGAUGGAAAUUGAAGAUGCGACCGACGAGGAAAAGAAAUUAACAAAGAAGAUGCUUAUGGUAGCAUUGUGGUGUAUACAAAUGAAGCCUAGUGACCGUCCUAAAUCGAUGAACAAAGUAGUAGAGUUUGGCUCAAAAUCCAAAAUAAGUGAUGCAAGUGCAACACCAAUAAUAUAUGUAUUUACAAUGGAGCAUCAUCUAACUAAUUUGUGGUCAUUAGAGGUGGCACUCAUCUCAGUGCCCUCCUUUCUCCUUGCUGUAUAUUGGUUCUUAUGGUUUGAUGUAGGAGCUCACUGUUCGUUAUGCUCUUGCAACGUGUACGGGCUUAAUGUCCCUUGGCAAUUUAAUUAG